rnacentral:rRNA from 1 species
CAGUAGCCGCGGUAAUACAGAGGGUGCGAGCGUUAAUCGGAUUUAAUGGGCGUAAAGCGUGCGUAGGCGGCUUCUUAAGUCGGAUGUGAAAUCCCUGAGCUUAACUUAGGAAUUGCAUUCGAUACUGGGAAGCUAGAGUAUGGGAGAGGAUGGUAGAAUUCCAGGUGUAGCGGUGAAAUGCGUAGAGAUCUGGAGGAAUACCGAUGGCGAAGGCAGCCAUCUGGCCUAAUACUGACGCUGAGGUACGAAAGCAUGGGGAGCAAACAGGAUUAGAUACCCGUGUAGUCCCUGUCUCUUAUAC